GGGUGCGAUCGUACCAGCACUAAAGCACCGAUCCCAUCAGAACUCUUUAGUUAAACGUGCUUGGGCGAGAGUAGUACUGGCUUGGGUGAACCGCAAUUUCUUUUC
rnacentral:rRNA from 22 species